AAUAGAUACCCUGGUAGUCCACGCCGUAAACGAUGUCGACUUGGAGGUUGUUCCCUUGAGGAGUGGCUUCCGGAGCUAACGCGUUAAGUCGACCGCCUGGGGAGUACGGCCGCAAGGUUAAAACUCAAAUGAAUUGACGGGGGCCCGCACAAGCGGUGGAGCAUGUGGUUUAAUUCGAUGCAACGCGAAGAACCUUACCUACUCUUGACAUCCAGAGAACUUAGCAGAGAUGCUUUGGUGCCUUCGGGAACUCUGAGACAGGUGCUGCAUGGCUGUCGUCAGCUCGUGUUGUGAAAUGUUGGGUUAAGUCCCGCAACGAGCGCAACCCUUAUCCUUUGUUGCCAGCGGUUCGGCCGGGAACUCAAAGGAGACUGCCAGUGAUAAACUGGAGGAAGGUGGGGAUGGCGUCAAGUCAUCAUGGCCCUUACGAGUAGGGCUACACACGUGCUACAAUGGCGUAUACAAAGAGAAGCGACCUCGCGAGAGCAAGCGGACCUCAUAAAGUACGUCGUAGUCCGGAUUGGAGU
rnacentral:rRNA from 1 species